GUUGCUGAUAUUAACUCUGUGUCUGGUUGUAUUUUUAAUCUGGGCAAAAGCGAUAGGAGGGAAAAGCACUUAGAGCAGACAUGAGUGAUAAACAAUACAAAAGUUUUCAAACCCUAACAGCAAGACUGAAAAAGUAGGGACCUGCUCCCGUGAACACAGAACGAGCACUGUUUGCAUCGGUAUCGAAAAAGCUGUAUCGCAAGACUGAAGGAGCGAGGACAUGCUCCCGCGAACACAGAACGAGUACUGUUUGCGUCGGUAGUGAAAGGCCUAAUCGCAACAAUGAAAGAGCGAGGAUAUGCUCCUGCCAACAGAGGACCAGCAUUUUUAGCAUCAGUAAUGACAAAGCUGUAUCGCAAGACUGAAAGAGCGAGGACAUUCUCCCGCAAACACUAAACAAGUGAAUUGAAUUGAAUUGAUCAUCAAUUAAUAUGACCACAUUUUUCAAAGGGUCAGGUUAGAACUUGCUUGCAGAAGCUGUCAGACCUCACAGGGCUUGCCUGGCUAAUUUAUAGCACUGGAGAAAGACUUUCAACAAACAAUUAUAAAGCAGAAGCCUGUAAUGACCCUAAUUGAAGUGUUCUUAAAAAUCCCAAUUUAAUCAAGAAAUUUCCAAAAUAUUUUCAGAUGACCAAGACUGUAGAAGGAACAAUAUGAGUGUUUAGUCAAAUGCCUGGACUUAGUGCUUUAUCUACCAAAAACGAUUAACCAUCACUUUUACAGUACCUGGCCAAUUUUAAAAAUGCUUUAAAAAUACAUAGUUUGUCAUAAAAUUACCAAACUAUUCUCAAUUAACCAAGUUUAUAUCUGCAAUAUUAUGCAUUGUUUAGAAUGUUCCGAGAUGUAAUGUUUUUUUUUUUGUAUGUUUAUACAUUACAAGCCUAUAAUGACCAGAAUUUAAAUAUUGAUUAAAAAUCCAUAUUUCAUCAAAUUCCCAAGAUAUUCUCAGAUGACCAUGACUGUAGAAGGAACAAUAUGAUUGUUUAUUCAUGUCCCUAUCCACUAAAAAACAGUUAUCCAUAGUUUCUACAGUAUUUGGCCAAUUUGAAAGAAAUCCUUAAAAAUACAUAGUUUGUCAUAAAAUUACCAACAUAUUCUCAAUUUACCAAGUUUAUAUGUGCAAUGAUAUGCAUUGUUUAUAACGUCCCUGGAUGUAAAGGAGUUUUCAACAAAAAAUUAAAAAUGACUCAAAUUUAAAACUAUUAAUUUAAAAUCCAUGUUUCAUCAUAAACAACAUCACUGAUCUGUCACAGUUUGUGAGGAAGUAGCAUGGGUGAUCCUUAGGGACUCUGUCCAGAAGUUGAAGCCACAUCCUCUGGAAUCAGAAUCUGACCACUAAACAACUACACUACCAGACCACCUGGGAAAGCCUGCAAAACAUUAGCUUAAAAGACAGCAAGUUAACAUACCAUAUUCAGUGUUAAUGAUAUGACUUUUAAUAUUAUUUAAUGUUGAUGCAACUUUUGAACCAUAAUCCACAAUAUAGAGUCUUAUAACUCAGUAAUUGUAUGAUAAAAAUCACAAAAUAAAUAAAAAAUGAGAUCCAAACCACCAACCUCUCAUCCAGGAUUUGACACUCUUAACCAUUGGACUACCAAGAUGUUGUGAAUUCAAGGGGAAGGUCAGGGAUAGAAUGUUAUAUGGCAAUCCUCUCAAACUAGUAUUUGUGGAAUAAGAGUGUGUGAUUCAUGCUGGACAAGUUCGUGAGCCAUAACAGGCCAUAUUUAGUCUAAUACUUGUGUGAGACAAAACACACAGAGCUUACAUAUAUAGCCUACCCAUUAGUUGAACCCACAACCUGUGAAACCAGAGUCUAAGCUAUAAAACAUUACACUACCAGACCACCUGUGAAGGGCUGCAAAAGAUUGUCUUAGAAGUACCACAGUGCAGAAUCUAGUUUACAAAUUUUGACAUCAGAUGCUCAUCCUGGUUUCACCUUAUUACCUUGGAUUGUCAACAUGAUCUCUAUAACAUCAGAUGUUCUUUUUUUUUCUCAGCUUAUGACCUCAUAAUGCCAUGCUUUUCUACCUUUAUGACAUCACAAUGACAUAAGAUGCUCAUCAUUUCUUUGCUUGUUACUUCACACAUUCAUGAGAUGAUCUUAUCAUCAUGUUCUUACCACAUGAAUUUUUUGUUAAUACUUUUUUUACAAGUUGACAGCAGAUGCUCAUCUUUGUUUCACCUUAUUAUAUUGGACUGUCGACAUGGUCUCACCCUAUGAUAUCAGAUGGUCUUUCCUUUCUGAACUUAUGACCUCAUAAUGCCAUUCUUUCUCCCCUUUUGACAUCAAAAUGAACUAAUAUUUAAAUUUUUUUAGCUUGUUAUUUCACACAUCAUGAGAUCAUCUUAUCAUUGUUGGGACCCACAGCCAUGGAUUUCAACAUUAAACUCCGAUAGUCAACAGUGUCUCACUAUGACAUGAGCUGGUCAUUCUUUCAAAGCCUAUGACAUCAGAAUACCAUGAUUUUCUGCCUUAAUGACAUCACAAUGAUGAAAAAUAGUCAUCAUUUCUUAGCUUAUGACGUUACAUAUUCACAAGAUCAUCUCAUCAUUAUAUUCUUCCCUCAAAACAUUUCU